CCUACGGGUGGCAGCAGUGAGGAAUAUUGGUCAAUGGACGAGAGUCUGAACCAGCCAAGUAGCGUGAAGGAUGACUGCCCUAUGGGUUGUAAACUUCUUUUAUAUGGGAAUAAAAUGUUCCACGUGUGGGGUUUUGUAUGUACCUUAUGAAUAAGCAUCGGCUAACUCCGUGCCAGCAGCCGCGGUAAUACGGAGGAUUCGAGCGUUAUCCGGAUUUAUUGGGUUUAAAGGGAGCGGAGGCGGGUUGUUAAGUCAGGUGUGAAAGUUUGGGGCUCAACCGUAAAAGUGCAGUUGAAACUGGCAGUCUUGAGUACAGGAGAGGUAGGCGGAAUUCGUGGUGUAGCGGUGAAAUGCUUAGAUAUCACGAAGAACUCCGAUUGCGAAGGCAGUUCACCGGAGUGCAACUGACACUGAGGCUCGAAAGUGUGGGUAUCAAACAGGAUUAGAUACCCUAGUAGUC
rnacentral:rRNA from 1 species